UUGGAUUAAAACUUGAUUUUUUGGCCCAAGGAUGGAGUCGGCCCAAAAGGAGGCCUGGAGGAAUAGAAGAUCAAGGCCCGGCCGAAACUUGGGAAAGCAGGAAAGGGCCUUUUCUGACUUGAUACAAUUCAUAAGGGCCACUUGCCUACCUACCCAAGGACCAAGUGGUGUAGACUGAUCAGACUGCACAGCCCAUAAAGUACUUUAUGGUGGCAUUACAUGUAAUAAAGCUGAUGAGUCAUCACCCUCAGACCGCAUUUGGGCAAAGCUGUCGCUACAGGAGCCAAACCGAGUCGUCUAUAAAAUGAGGAAGAGAAGACAGGAAUAGAGACACUCAAUCAAACAAACACACUCAAUCAAACAAACAAAAGCACAAACUCUGCUAAAAAAGCCAGAUUUGCCUUUCAAAACAAAGCUGUAAUCAGCCCAAGCCUUCAACCCCAGCGGGAUAAUCUUUUCUCCCAACCUCUGUAAUAGCUCUGCUACCUUGUUUGAACUUGUUGUAGUAUCGAUUCACCCUUUGUAUUCUCCUUUCCCCUCUCCCCCUCUAAGCUUUCAGACCUUUGACAGAACUACAAAGAUAGGGACCUGCAAGACGAUCAGCCUUAAUUGAUAAGCCUUGCCCGAAGAGUCUUGCCCGACGAGACUUGCCCGACAAAGCCCGACAGGAAAGCAGAAGCCCAACAGCAGCCCUCAACCGGCGCUAAACCUCCAGGGGAGCUGUGUGCUUGUCGGCCAGGAAACAUCCCCGACGGGAAUUCCUGCCACGAACAUAGUUUUGGCACGCCCGGUGGGAUCUCUAAUCAGAAGAUAGAGAAAUAGAUAUGCCAGAAGACUUACAGACCACAUUGUUUCAGAUGCUGCAAAGAUUGGAGAAAGCCUCCAUAGGCUCUAGAAGUGAUACAGAUGUGGUUCCUCCCAAAGGAAAAAGACGUAGAAACAGCCAGCCAGAUGAGAUGGACGUAAUCAACCCUGCAUUUCCCUUCUCAGAGGCCCCUAUAAAUAUGCUCAAUAUGACAUGGGCGGAGAAAGGAAAAUGGAAGAUUACAAGGGAAGAAGAAGAAAGACUGGCCGAAAAACCUACAGAGAGAAUAAUCAAACUGCCCGAGUACCCAAAGGCUGCCAUAAUCAAGGGGUUGGUUAUGUGUAGUAAAUGCCAGUGUGAAUGUGAGCUCGAGAUUCCCUCGGCUGAAGUCCUCAUUGAUCACGAGUUAAUCAGGAGGAAGAAAGAAGAUACAAGAAGAGAAGUCCGCGAAAGGAGUAAGCGGGCAACAAAGAAGGAUAUUUCCCGAAGUGUUUUUCAACGCUUAGGAGGUGAUUCCCAACCCAAGGCUUUGUCAGAAGUGUUUCGAAACCAUGAAGCUUCUGACGAGGCAGAAAUGGAGGCCAAAAUCCAGAGAGGUGCAGAUCAUCUUCAGAAUGGCCAUAUGAGGGGGGAAGUCAAGAGAACUGAUGGGAUAGCUAAUCCCGGCAGAAAAGGGAAUCCUGCCCACCUCGGGCGAAAAUGGUAUGUAGUCGGGAAGAACGGACAGCCUACCAAACCAAUGGGAGCCUCUAUGAUCAGGAGGGUUCAAAGGCAGCACAAGGCCUACAUGAAUUCCUUGAAGACCCCCACUACCUCUGAAACCUCAAAAAAUCAAAAGUUGGAAAGAGUAACAUCUGGAGGUAGUAGCCAGCUCCGUUGGCGAAAUAAGAAGGAGGUAGAGAAAGCCAAUAGCAAAGCAGAGGGGGUAGGGGAUCAUGUGCCGCAGAGCCAACAUCCUGGGAAAUAUAGGAUCUUGAGAAGAGCUCAAGAAGAUCUGAUCAUGGUACCAACUCCUGGGUGGAAGCCGGAGCCUAUUCACAUAGGAACUGUUGCAAGACCGCUUUCUCUGCCAUUGGUGGAUCCCUUUGGUGAAGUUCCAAAACAAACGCUGUACGAGGGCAUGGAUCAACCCCAACAGGAAGGGAUACCAGAACCACUACUUCCAGCCGAUGCGAUGGCCUGGUUAGAUGAAUUCAUGGACCAAAUUAGGAGCAAGAAGGAAGAUGUACUCGAGCCCAGUAAUUUCCACAUCAACAUGGCGUAUGUAUUAUCCGCCACGUUUGGUGCCAGACCUGAUCAGACUGCUACUACGGAGGGUGAUUACUUAACAACGGAGCCAAUGAUGGCACAAGUCAAUGUGGAGAUAGCAGAAGAAGAAGAAGACUCGGGCAAGGCUGAGCCCUCAGAAGCAUCCAAAGGUGGUCCUAUAAGGAUUUAUACAGACGAGAUGGUGUUCAGUCUCCCGAGUAUUUCGUUGGCCAACCAUCUGAAGCCUAUAUAUGUUUCAGCUCACUUAGAAGGUGUGCCCUUCAAAAGAAUUUUAAUUGAUGGAGGAGCAGCUGUUAACGUGUUACCGACCAAGCAGAUGAGGAAGAUGGGGAGAGGUACGGAAGAUCUUAUUCCCACGGACCUUACGGUCUCUAGCUUCUCAGGUGCUAUCACUAAGACUCAUGGGAUAUUACCUUUGGAGGUGGACUUAGGAUCCAAAAAGAUAAUGCUGGCAUUCUUUGUGGUGGACUGUACCUCCACCUACGGAGCCUUACUCGGAAGAGAUUGGAUCCACCAAAGUUUAGCCAUACCUUCCACUCUUCAUCAACAAGUGGCUGUAUAUCAUGAGGCGGGUACUGAAGGACCAGGUUUUUGGGAGAUAGUAGAGGCCGAAUCACGGCCAUUUCUCCCAUCAGCCAAUGUGGCAGAAGCAAGUUUCUACAAUCCCAACGUAGGAAUCUUGAAAUGUUCAGGAGCUGAUAAGAACGGCCGCCCUACCAAGGUGACGGCCCAAAAGCUUCUGGAACAAGGAAUGCUCCUUACCAAGGAGGAGUGGGAUAGACCCUGCCUCAUACCAAAUUCCCUACACCAUCAAUGACUGAACAAAAGAAGAAAGAUCAGGUCAUGGCAGUCAGAUCCCUGAUUAAAAGACUGUUGGUAUAUGGGAAGGGAAGAAGACAAGAAAGGGAGCAGGAAGAGCAAGAAUGGCAGGAAGAAGCUUCAACCAGCCAGCAUGGAAAUGGAGAGGAAUCUUGCAGUGAAGAACUGGAUAGGGCUAUUCAAAUGGCCGAAUGCAUAAAUGACCUAGAUGGGCCAAACGACUUGCCCGAGAGCCCAGAGUUGGUCGAAUUUUUAUGUGCAGAACCUGAUAAGCCAUCACCCGAAGUUCAGGAUCCUUUGGAAGUUAUUGAUCUAGGCACGGAGGAGGAUCCAAGACCAAUACAGAUCAGUGGUUUGUUGGGAGUUGAUGAUCGGGCAAAAAUUAUUUGUCUUUUGCAAGAAUUCAAAGACUGUUUUGCUUGGCAUUAUACCGAGAUGCCAGGGUUAGAUUCAACCUUGGUGGAACAUAGAAUGCCCAUCAAGGAAGGAUAUAAACCAGUCAAGCAAGCACCACGGAGGAUGUCAAAUGAGAUAGAAGAAAAGGUCAAAGAAGAGAUUGAGAGGCUAGUGAAAGCUGGCUUUAUCAGACUAGCCAAAUAUGUGGAGUGGUUGGCCAACAUCGUACCCGUUUUAAAAGCUGUAACAAAAGCAGUACGAUGUUGUGUCGAUUACAGAAAUAUUAAUGGCGUUACACCAAAGGAUGAGUACCCCAUGCCCAUGGCUGAUUUAUCCAUAGAUUCAGUAGCAAAGCAUAAAGUUUUAUCUUUUAUGGAUGGAAAUGCCGGAUAUAAUCAGAUAAAGAUGGCUCCAGAUGAUAUUCAUAAAACAGCUUUUAGGUGUCCUGGUCAUGUGGGGGCAUAUGAGUAUCUGGUCAUGCCAUUCGGGCUCAAGAAUGCUGGCGCAACAUAUCAAAGGGCAAUGAAUGCUAUUUUUCAUGAUCUAAUUGGCCAGAACAUGGAGGUAUAUAUCGACGACAUCGUGGUGAAAUCUAAAACAGAAGAGCAGCAUCUAGUAGAUCUCAGGCAAGCAUUGAUAAGGAUGCGGAUCCACAAAUUGAAGAUGAAUCCAAAGAAGUGCGCAUUUGGAGUAAGAGCGGGCAACUUCUUGGGAUUCUUGGUGCAUCAGAGAGGGGUGGAAGUGGACAAGAACAAGUCUCGGGCAAUAUUGGAGUCACCUCCACCCACCAACAAAGUGCAGCUUCAAAGGCUACUAGGCAAGAUCAACUUCUUAAGGAGAUUCAUUGCCAAUUUAGCGGGUAAAAUCCAGCCGCUAACUCCUCUACUAAGAUUGAAAGAUAAAGAGAAUUUCGAGUGGGGGCCGACCCACCAGCAGGCAUUUGACAACAUCAAGGCCUACCUAACUUCUCCACCAGUGUUAGUACCACCUCAAAGGGGAAAGCCCUUGAAGCUGUAUAUUUCUGCUUCGGAAAAAUCAAUUGGGAGUUUGCUAGCCCAAAAUAAUGAAGGUGGAAAGGAGCAGGCCGUAUACUACCUCAGCAGAAUUUUGACCGAGGUAGAAACAAGAUAUUCUCCGGUGGAGAGAUUGUGUUUAGCUCUAUAUUUUACUGCCAGCAACCUAAGGCAUUAUAUGUUACCUUGUCACGUGCACAUCAUUGCCAAAACAGAUGUGAUAAAGUACAUGUUGUCAAAACCUAUGCUAGCAGGAAGGAUUGGGAAGUGGAUUCUAGCACUGUCAGAAUUCAGCUUUCAAUAUGUACCCCAAAGGGCAGUCAAAGGCCAGGCAAUUGCUGACUUCUUGACCGAGCAUCAGGAACCUCAAAGUGAGGUAAUCAAUAUCCCGGGAAGUUUGGAGGUUACUAGCGUUUGGAUCCCACCAAGAAGUGAUGUUUCGGGCAAAGAAGAUUGGAUCCAGCAAGAGAUAAGAAGAGUAACGGGCCUCUGGAUUACUCCUUGGAAGCUGUAUUUCGAUGGAUCCCACACUCAGAAGGCUGCAGGGGCUGGGAUUGUGAUUAUAAAUCCUCAAGGGGUUUAUCAUUAUUACUCAUUCCUGCUCGAUUACCAAGAAAAUACUAAUAAUCGGGCAGAGUAUGAGGCAUUGAUUAUUGGUCUAGAAAUCCUGCUGGAUUUGGGGGCAGCAGAAGUAGAAGUCUUUGGUGAUUCAGAGUUGGUAAUAAACCAGCUAAAUGGCGAGUUCAAGUGCAGACAUAUCACUAUGGCGGGGUACUAUAUGGCAGCAACACAAUUGUUGAGUUUCUGGGAGUUGGAGAUAUCAGUCAAUCAUAUUCCUAGGGGGUCUAACUUAGCAGCCAAUGAAAUGGCGCAACUAGCCUCAUGAGUGCCAAUACAGGAAAGAAAGUAUGGAAUAGAUGUCGAGAUCCAAACAAGAAACCUUCCUUCUAUCUUAGACAGGGGAUUUAGUUUGGAUGUAAUGGUUCUAGAAACCAAGAUAGAAGAUUGGAGGGCACCCAUCAUUCAUCAUUUGAAGGAUCCCUCUUCACCUACAAGUAAGAGGAAUAGGCAACAAGCGACCAAAUAUGUUUUAUGGGCGAAGAACCUGCUAAGAAAAACCCCAGAUGGAUUACUGUUAAAAUGCUUAGGCCAGGAAGAAUCCAUGAGAGUGAUGGCCGAAGUACAUGAGGGAAUAUGUGGAGCACAUCAAGCAGGGACAAAGAUGAGAUGGCUACUCAGAAGGUACGGUUAUUUCUGGCCCGACAUGGAAAAAGACUGCAAGUCUUAUGCCCGCGGUUGUGAAGAAUGUCAGAGGCAUGGACCUCUCCAGCACGUGCCUUCAGUGCCUUUGAAUCCAGUGGUCAAGCCUUGGCCGUUCCGAGGAUGGGCGAUGGACUUCAUCGGGCAAAUUUAUCCAGCUUCUAGUAAAGGGCAUACUUUUAUAAUUGUAGCAACGGAUUACUUCACCAAGUGGGUGGAAGCAUCAGCAGUAAAAUCCAUAACUUUCGCCGUAGUCAAGAAUUUUAUCGAGACCAAGAUCUUGCACAGAUAUGGGGUGCCCGAGACUAUAGUGACGGACCGUGGGCCAUCUUUUAUUUCGAAAGAGGUCGAGGAGUUUGCAAGCAAGUACAAGAUAAAGAUGAUCCAAUCCAGUCCGUACUACCCUCAGUCAAAUGGGCAGGCUGAAGCUAGUAACAAGAUCCUGGUCAACAUUAUUAAAAGAAUGGUGAUAGAUAGUCCAGAAAAGUGGCACGAGAUGCUGGGGAAUAUGUUGUGGGCAUACAGGACUUCUAAAAGAGCGGGAACAGGCACAACUCCUUAUGCCUUGACGUUCGGGCAAGAUGCAGUGCUCCCCAUGGAGAUCAACGUUAGUUCCGUAAGAAUUCAGAACCAAUUUGGGUUACAUAGUGCAGAAUAUAUCGAAGCCAUGUGUCAAGGUAUUGAAGACCUGGAUGCAGCCCGAAUUGAAGCCUUGAACCAGAUUCAAGAAGGAAAGAUAGUUGUUGCACGGGCUUAUAACAAGAAGGUGAAGGUAAAGUCUUUUAAAGAAAGAGAUUUAGUAUGGAAAACAGUCCUCCCGCUGGGAGCUCCGCUUCGGGGUUUUGGAAAGUAGAGCCCGACAUGGGAAAGUCCUUUCAUUAUUAGUCGAGUCUUAAAUAAAGGAGGAUACUACCUAGCGGACCUCGAAGGAAAUGGGCAGAAACAUCCCAUUAAUGUUAGAUUCUUGAAAAAAUAUUGUCCUACAUUAUGGGAUGUUAGGGAUUGUUACAUUGAAGAGGGGGCAGAGUGAAACAGGCUUCGGGAGUCUCAUAUGCAGUGUUUUUGUUCAUCAAACAUUCAAAGAAGGCAGAAAGACAGAAAUUGCUAAAAUAGUAUUUAUUUCAUGUCGACAAAUUGAUGAAAUUUACAGAGUUCCAAUCCUAUGUGUUACAUUUGAUUCUCUCUGAGUAUGGUGGUGUCUUCAGCUGGUUUCCCAAUGUCUUCAUGGAUGGAACCCAAUCGGGUGAUCGGGUUGUGCGGCCAACAUGGGCCUGGUAGAGGAUCCUCCGACGGGGCUGUCACCAUAUGUGAUGGUGAAGCCCAACUUAUCGCCGCAGCUUGCGGGAAGAUAAACCAUCAAGAGGAAGCCGCCUGACCAAGGGUGUUGGAGAUAGAGGGGCGGUUGACCAAGGGUGUUGGAAAUAGCAGUCAUCAGGUGAAACCUCAUUUUCUCGCGAAAGGGGAGUUUUAGGAAACUCCACUCAAAACCUGAGGAACCCAUUUCUCAGUUUCUAAGAGGAGACAAGAACGCUCAAGAUGGAUGGAAGUUGAAGGCCGGAGCCAAAGGGGAUUUGGUAGUUUGAUAGGAGAAGUCCCGAGCUAGAUCUUAUAGGGCCCAAAGGACAGUUCAAGAGUCGUGAGAAGAGCAAGGGGCACCAGAAGCACAAAUUCCCAAGGACAGAUAUGCAUGCAUGCGGGUAUUCAAUCAAUGUCGACGCCUGGGAUUUCAACCUUCACAUUAAUUGAAGGGGGCACUGUUUGGAUUAAAACUUGAUUUUUUGGCCCAAGGAUGGAGUCGGCCCAAAAGGAGGCCUGGAGGAAUAGAAGAUCAAGGCCCGGCCGAAACUUGGGAAAGCAGGAAAGGGCCUUUUCUGACUUGAUACAAUUCAUAAGGGCCACUUGCCUACCUACCCAAGGACCAAGUGGUGUAGACUGAUCAGACUGCACAGCCCAUAAAGUACUUUAUGGUGGCAUUACAUGU
rnacentral:lncRNA from 1 species